GCUCAAGUAGCACAAUUGGUUAGCGCAUGGUACUUAUAAUACCUAGGCUGUGAGUUUGAGCCUUACCUGGAGCA